rnacentral:lncRNA from 1 species
CGGCAGAGGCCUUUGAACACCUUAUUAGAUUUUAACCGGAAAGGAGAGGAGAGUGAGGUUUGAGAAGGAGGAUUCGGUGAGGACGUUGCACAGGGUUCUUUGACUGCUUCUGCCUUUUCUUUAUCUUCAGGCUUGGGGCCACGCGCUUGCAUCUCUCUUCCUUCCUCGAACUUCUCCAGUGCUCUCUGGAGUCCCCCGCUUUAGAUUCUGGCUGUUUCAGCAAUGACCCAGAAAAGGAGCUGACUGCAGCCGGAGGAGAACCACCAUCGGCUUUCAGACUCUGCCUUGACCUCACAGGUUACGCAUUUCCUCCCCUCCACUAUUUCAGAAGUGUGGGGUCACACAGGUAGAAAAGCUUAAAUCUCAUGAAGAAGACAGACAAAGAUAAUAUAAUGACCCAGAUAAAAUGUAAACUUGUGGAAAGUGUAGGGAAGGAGAGAGCUGUGUUUGCUGUAAGUGGGUAUAACCAGGGGAUUUCCCCCACCCAGGGAGGUCAGAGAAGGAUGUUUAAGGGUGGGUGAGAUUUCAACACCUCAGAGGAGGGCGAGAUAUCCUAUUAGGAGAAACAGACUGGGCAGUGAGCAGGGCUGGAAAGGGCUGGCCAGGUGUAGGGAAAGAUGAGUGGUCUGGACCCAUGAAAAUGGCAGGGAAUGAAUGAGAGACAAUGAGGUACGAGGCUCUGCGCCUGGCAGUUUCUAUGUUUGGAGUUUAUGUUACACUUAGAACAAUCCUGUAAGGUAAGAAUUCCCUUGGUUUUUGUUCUCCUGGAGGUAGAUCCUGAGGUAAAGACUUGGAUGCAGGCAAUUUAUGGGGGAAGUGAUUCCAGGAAGCACCCUAAAGGUGAUGUUGAACCUCUGAUUCUGCUACAGUACUAAGAUUUAUUAUGUCACUGGAGGGCAGUGAAGAUAUGAUGUGACAUGAUGUACAGAGCAAACCAACUGGCCCUGUGAGUACUUAAUCCAAGCAUAACAUUGUGA